rnacentral:misc_RNA from 1 species
GGAAUAAAAGUCGUAACAAGGUUUCCGUAGGUGAACCUGCGGAAGGAUCAUUGCAGAGUUCAUGCCCUCACGGGUAGAUCUCCCACCCUUGAAUAUUUAUACCUUAGUUGCUUUGGCAGGCCGUGGAAACACCAUGGGCUCCGGCUUAUGCGUGCCUGCCAGAGGAAACAAACUCUGUUUUUAGUGAUGUCUGAGUACUAUAUAAUAGUUAAAACUUUCAACAACGGAUCUCUUGGUUCUG